rnacentral:rRNA from 1 species
GACGUACGCUGACGGUGUGCUUUAGGCAUGCAAGUCGAACGAUAAAGCCCUUCGGGGUGAGUAAAGUGGCGCACGGGUGAGUAACACGUGGGCAACCUGCCCCUCGCAGGGGGACAACCGGAGGAAACUCCGGCUAAUACCCCGUAAGCUUGUCGAGUCGCAUGGCUCUUCAAGGAAAGGUAGCUUCGGCCAUCCGGCGAGGGAUGGGCCCGCGUUGCAUUAGCUAGUUGGUGGGGUAACGGCCCACCAAGGCGACGAUGCGUAGCUGGUCUGAGAGGAUGAUCAGCCACACUGGGACUGAGACACGGCCCAGACUCCUACGGGAGGCAGCAGCCAGGAAUCUUGGGCAAUGGGCGAAAGCCUGACCCAGCAACACCGUGUGGACGAUGAAGGCUCUAGGGUCGUAAAGCCCUGUUGAUAGGGACGAAGGGCGAAGGGUUAAUAGCCCCUAGCUUGACGGUACCUUUCGAGGAAGCCCCGGCUAACUACGUGCCAGCCGCCGCAGUAA